rnacentral:rRNA from 1 species
UAGGGAAUCUUCGGCAAUGGACGAAAGUCUGACCGAGCAACGCCGCGUGAGUGAAGAAGGUUUUCGGAUCGUAAAACUCUGUUGUUAGAGAAGAACAAGGACGUUAGUAACUGAACGUCCCCUGACGGUAUCUAACCAGAAAGCCACGGCUAACUACGUGCCAGCAGCCGCGGUAAUACGUAGGUGGCAAGCGUUGUCCGGAUUUAUUGGGCGUAAAGCGAGCGCAGGCGGUUUCUUAAGUCUGAUGUGAAAGCCCCCGGCUCAACCGGUGAGGGUCAUUUGAAACUGGGAGACUUGAGUGCAGAAGAGGAGAGUGGAAUUCCAUGUGUAGCGGUGAAAUGCGUAGAUAUAUGGAGGAACACCAGUGGCGAAGGGGGCUCUCUGGUCUGUAACUGACGCUGAGGCUCGAAAGCGUGGGGAGCAAACAGG